CAGAUCCCAGAGCGAGCCAGCCGUGCCGCCAUUUUGCCAGGCCGGGCCACGUGACCCCGAUGUUCAUCUGCGAUUGGCUGAAACGUCGGUUGCCCGGGAGACAGAGAAGCUUCCCAGCAAAGACGCGGAGCAUUGAAGAGAGCAAAGACCAGUAUUUGCCAACCAGAAGCAAAGAGGCCCCUGAAGCAGGAAUGCCCAGCUGGGGGAGUUGCUGAUGGUCUAUAACCUCCUGGUGAAGAGACAAGGAGGAAAGAAGAGCAGACACGAGUCGGGAGGGAGAAAACAACUGCCUAUAUUGUGAAAUAUCCUCUACAAAAUACCAGUUCUACAGAAGAUGGGCAGCCCCUGGAAAGAGGCUAAGCGAUGCUGGCAAGAGAGACAACAGAGAUGGCCACUGUAAAGAAAGCCAAGCAGGAAGACACAUAAGUCAUCAUCUUUGGAGAGGAGAAAUAUGUGUUAUCUGAGCAGAAUGACUUGAAUCAUCAUUUGCAAACGACAGACUAAUCACCGCGGCAACUAAAUGAUCCGGAAGAGUCGAGAGACUGGAGAAUUUUGCCAAUUAGAAAACAGACACAGCUAAACCACAUCUAGAGAUGUUUACCCAGGAAGUAACAGAACAAAUAAACAAAGCAGGAAAUAUCAAGCUGUACUUUGAAGAAGUAUGACAGUAAAAAUAGGAAAUGACUCAAGUGUACUAGGCAAUAAGAAUGAUACUAAGAUAAAUUUUAAUUCAUUUGUUCUA